GAGCCGAAAGUGCUCAGCCCAGACACCAGGGUCCUAGCCCAGCUCAGGGGGAGGUCGGGGUGGGGGACCGGCAGCCCGGACGCCAGGGUUCUAGCCCAACUCAGGUGAGGUGGGGGACCGGCAGCCCGGGUGCCAGGGUUCUAGCCCAGUUCAGGGGGAGGUGAGGUGGGGGACCGGCAGCCCGGUUGCCAGGGUUCUAGCCCAGUUCAGGGGGAGGUCGGGGUGGGGGACUGGCAGCCCGGACGCCAGGGUUCUAGCCCAACUCAGGGGGAGGUCGGGGUGGGGGACCGGCAGCCCGGACGCCAGGGUUCUAGCCCAGUUCAGGGGGAGGCCGGGGUGGGGGACCGGCAGCCCGGACGCCAGGGUUCCAGCCCAGCUCAGGGGGAGGUCGGGGUGGGGGACCGGCAGCCCGGACGCCAGGGUUCUAGCCCAACUCAGGGGGAGGUCGGGGUGGGGGACCGGCAGCCCGGACGUCAGGGUUCUAGCCCAGCUCAGGGGGAGGUCAGGGUGGGGGACCGGCAGCCCGGACGCCAGGGUUCCAGCCCAGCUCACGGGGAGGUCGGGGUGGGGGACCGGCAGCCCGGACGCCAGGGUUCCAUCCCAGCUGACGGGGAGGUCGGGGUGGGGGACCGGCAGCCCGGACGCCAGGGUUCUAGCCCAGGUCAGGGGGAGGUCGGGCUGGGGGACCGGCAGCCUGGACGCCAGGGUUCUAUCUCAGGUCAGGGGAGAUUGGGACGGGGGGCCUGGGAGCCCAGAGGCCUGGAUUCUAUCCCACCUAGGGCAGGAAGUCAGAAGGGGGGGCUGGGCUGGAGCCAGGACUCCUGGGUUCUAUCCCCACAAGAGCUGGGC